GGUAGGAGAACCCCUCUUAUCAGCCUUGGCAAAGAGGGACUUGAAGAAACCAAAUUAUCAGGAGUAGAGAGAAAAAAGGAAUAAAUCUUCAAAGGGAAUGAAGAAUUGAGGUUGACAAUCACGAAGAAGGAAGAUCCCACAAUGCCUCAAUUCAGCCUGCUUUAAACCCCAUAUAGAUCAGCCUCAUUUUUCAUUCUGAAAAGUUGACAGAUCCCCACUGCUUACAGAGGAAACUCAAAUUGAAAUACAGCUUUUGAAUUGUAUUUGUUCUUUUCUGUUGUAAAGGGCUUUUGAGAUGCUCCUUGCCGUAUGAGACCUCUUACUGUGGUGGCAACAACUGGCACCAGCUCUCAGCUGAGGCCCCAAUCCUGCAGUUUGCUGUGUGCAGGUGGCCUGCCACACCCUCACAAAGCCCCAUAGAAGGAAAAGGGGCUCUGCAUGGGCACAGCAUAGUUCAAGCCCCCAGACAAUGAAUUGUAGAAUUGGAGCCUAAUUUGCACUUUGCUCAUCUGAAAAUGUGAUCAGUCUCAGACGCUUGUGGCCUUACUCUGCCUGUCAGCAAAGAUGGAAUAGCUGAAUACUAUGGAGAAGUCUAAUAUUAUAAAGCUUCAUUACUCCUACAAAAUAUACUACAGGCGAAUACUUACCGGCACACUGAAC